UUCUGUUUAGAAGGCAACCCAGCUAAGACAUAGAGUUUCAGUGACAUGAAGAGUGUCAAGUAAACCACCUAUCACCAUGCUACUGCAAUACUUCAUGAACCUUUCUUGAGCAUGCGGAAAUUGAUCUCAACAUGUGGAGUAAUGCUGUUGGUUGCAGUGAAUUCCAUUUUCACGGUUUUUUCAUCAUGAACAAUCAGUGUGCUUCUUAAAAUAGAGCACGCAGUUUCUUAAUGGAAUCGUGUGGUCCUGGCACGGAG